CCUACGGGGGGCAGCAGUGGGGAAUAUUGGUCAAUGGACGAGAGUCUGAACCAGCCAAGUAGCGUGAAGGAUGACUGCCCUAUGGGUUGUAAACUUCUUUUAUAUGGGAAUAAAACAGGGUAUGCAUAUUCUCCUGUAUGUACCAUACGAAUAAGGAUCGGCUAACUCCGUGCCAGCAGCCGCGGUAAUACGGAGGAUCCGAGCGUUAUCCGGAUUUAUUGGGUUUAAAGGGAGCGUAGGUGGAUUGUUAAGUCAGUUGUGAAAGUUUGCGGCUCAACCGUAAAAUUGCAGUUAAGACUGGCAGUCUUGAGUACAGUAGAGGUAGGCGGAAUUCGUGGUGUAGCGGUGAAAUGCUUAGAUAUCACGAAGAACACCGAUUGCGAAGGCAGCUCACUGGACUACAACUGACACUGAUGCUCGAAAGUGUGGGUAGCAAACAGGAUUAGAUACCCUUGUAGUC
rnacentral:rRNA from 1 species